AAUCAACUAAUAGGAGGAGCAUGUAGGCAACUAACUCUACAGUGGCGCAAAAGGCCCACGAUAACCACUUUAGAGCAGAGGCGAGUGAGUGGGUCGGGUUUCAGCUGUUCAGAGAGCGCUCUGGUGAUCUUGCAGAGAUAGACGGCUAGAUAGACUGUCGUCUGGGACACUGCAGGACCGCUUUGAAGAUCUCGUCAAAUGGCAACGCUGAACCACAAGGCAAAUGAAUAAAGCUCCCUUUCAAAUCGGACAUGACUGAUUGAUUGAUCCAAAUCUACAGAAUGCCUCAUAAUACGUUGAUAUAGACACUCAUCUGAAUAUAGUAAGGUGGUUGGAGAAGAGGACAGCUGCAACUUGCCCAAGGCAACUCCCCUGUCAAAAGUUAGGUCGUAAGGAUAUAUAUCCCUUACAAUUCGCUUUUCACCUUUCUCCCGAUGAAUGUUGGAAUUUCGUUGUGGAUAAAAAUCUAAUAAACACAACAAACAUGGAAGAAGAUCAAAAGUGGGGAGUUGCUGGUAGAAGUGUAGGCAGGACUUGCAGUGAGCACCCUUGCAAAAAACGCUUUUGGAGGAAUUGGAAAGAUUUGUCAGGUAUAACUGUCGGCAUCGUAUUCUCUGUAUUGUCUCUUGGAUUUUGCAUUCUCGUUUACCUGAGAACCUCGGAGCUUCAGUCCAGGAUCCUAAACUUGGAAAAACAGAGAGAUACUCAGGUCUCCGCGUGGAUCUCACUCGAGCAGGUGGAACCAGUUAUCUUUGGCCGAAUAGAUCAGAUUCUGGAAGAGAAAUUGGCGGCUCGACUUCCUAAAACACGAGAGGCCAGAGAAGCACCCCAUAGCUGCGUCUGUCCACCAGGGCGUCCUGGGUCGAGGGGAAAGAGAGGUCGCAAUGGUGAUCCAGG